rnacentral:rRNA from 1 species
AACGAACGCUGGCGGCAUGCCUAACACAUGCAAGUCGAACGAGACCUUCUGGUCUAGUGGCGCACGGGUGCGUAACGCGUGGGAACCUGCCCUUAGGUUCGGAAUAACUCCCCGAAAGGGGUGCUAAUACCGGAUAAUGUCUUCGGACCAAAGAUUUAUCGCCUUUGGAUGGGCCCGCGUUGGAUUAGCUAGUUGGUAGGGUAAAAGCCUACCAAGGCGACGAUCCAUAGCUGGUCUGAGAGGAUGAUCAGCCACACUGGGACUGAGACACGGCCCAGACUCCUACGGGAGGCAGCAGUGGGGAAUAUUGGACAAUGGGCGAAAGCCUGAUCCAGCAAUGCCGCGUGAGUGAUGAAGGCCUUAGGGUUGUAAAGCUCUUUUACCCGGGAUGAUAAUGACAGUACCGGGAGAAUAAGCUCCGGCUAACUCCGU